GGUAUUGGCAAAUCUCCCCCACAAGGCUUGGGAAAGAACGGAAAUAUUUGGCCUCAAGGGGGAAAAAAACCCACUCUGUCUGCAGACCACUGAUCCUUGCCAUGAGACUAAGGGUUGUAUUCGCGCUCUGGUUCAUGGUGUGUCUGAGCCUCGCUGUGACUCAGGAGCAGCAGGUGUCACUUGCCCGGGGAAAGGGGAGAAGGGCCGGGCAGAGAAGGGGCAAGAAGGCCAAUUCCAGUCAGCCGACCCAACAGGGAGGUGUGCCAGUUCUCAAUGGGGAUGCGGGGACAGCAAUUUUCCUUGAGUCAUACAAAAGCGUCAAUGAACAGGAAUCCAACUACAACAUCAUUCCAGGGCGGAGGGGGCAGUGCCAGUACAUGGGCA